AUUAGCCAUGCAUGUCUCAGUGCAAGCCGUAUUAAGGCGAUACCGCGAAUGGCUCAAUAUAUCAGUUUUGGUUCCUUAGAUCUUACUCAGUUACUUGGAUAACUGUGGUAAUUCUAGAGCUAAUACAUGCAAUCAGAACUCUGACCAGUGAUGGGAUGAGUGCUUUUAUUAGAUCAAAACCAAUCGGCGGAGGGCCUAGCGUCCGAAGUCGUUAAUUUUGAUGAAUCUGGAUAACUUUUGCCGAUCGCACGGUCCAGUACCGGCGACGCAUCUUUCAAAUGUCUGCCUUAUCAACUUUCGAUGGUAGUUUCUGCGACUACCAUGGUUGUCACGGGUAACGGGGAAUCAGGGUUCGAUUCCGGAGAGGGAGCCUGAGAAACGGCUACCACAUCCAAGGAAGGCAGCAGGCGCGCAAAUUACCCACUCCCGGCACGGGGAGGUAGUGACGAAAAAUAACGAUACGGGACUCUUACGAGGCCUCGUAAUCGGAAUGAGUACACUUUAAAUAUUUUAACGAGGAACAAUUGGAGGGCAAGUCUGGUGCCAGCAGCCGCGGUAAUUCCAGCUCCAAUAGCGUAUACUAAAAUUGUUGCGGUUAAAAAGCUCGUAGUUGCAUUUGUGCGCCGCGCUGUCGGUGCACCGCAUCCGCGGUGAUACUGACACGUCUGCGGAGCAUAUCGUCGGUGAGCCGGCGGUAAAACGCCGGUUCAAUAUCAAAAUCCUAUCGCGGUGCUCUUCGGUGAGUGUCGAGGUGGGCCGACAAUUUUACUUUGAACAAAUUAGAGUGCUCAAAGCGGGCUCAAAAUGCCGCUUGAAUAUUUCGUGCAUGGAAUAAUAGAAUAUGAUCUCGGUUCUAUUUUGUUGGUUUUCAGAACUCCGAGGUAAUGAUUAAUAGGGAUAACUGGGGGCAUUCGUAUUGCGACGUUAGAGGUGAAAUUCUUGGAUCGUCGCAAGACGAACAUCAGCGAAAGCAUUUGCCAAAGGUGUUUUCAUCAAUCAAGAACGAAAGUUAGAGGUU
rnacentral:rRNA from 1 species